GAUUACAACCUUAUGACUGGGCCUUAUGACGCGUCCUCAACUCAUCCCCACUGUCCUACCAACAAGGCUAGAAUCAAUAGUACCACUGGCUGGUGUCCCGGCAGGUCCGUAGAUGGACAAUACUUACAGGUGGCAUUUCGGACCGUCUCUAUGCUGAAGGCUAUAACGACCCUCGGGAGGGUUAACGCAGAUCAAUGGGUGAUCAAGUACAAAGUCAGAACCAGUAUGGACGGAGUCACUUGGACCUACGUAUCGAACUCUACCGGAGAUGAAAUGAUAAAUGUGAUAAAUGGAAAGCCAAGCUGGGAUUAGCCGGUGAUGUUUUGCCCGUACUUUUGGAAACAGACACAUGAAAUCAGGAACUGUGUGGUGUGCAGUGUCGCAAACAAGCUAACUGUGAUAAUUUCCUAUUUGACGUCACAUCCGCCCGUUGCAGAUUGCUGAAAUCGACACCAGAUAGGUCAAAUGACGCUGUCAACCUGGAUGGAGUGUGGUAUUUCGUGAAAACAUUGGUGUGACGAAGUCCUGCCUAAGACAGAGUUAUGCGGCCAUGAAUUGCUUGAUAAAUAUGCGACCUUUGGGGGUCAUAGGUCAUUGCCAACCCCGACAAGUAUUUUGAUAAAGAAAUAGUUUAUGUUUAUAUUUACAAAUGUGAUGCAAUCUGAAAUAUUACAAUCUAUAGAAGGAUUAACCUGAAUCUAGUCCAACUAUCUGUCAAUUUUUUAGAAAUUAAAAUCUGAGAGUAUACGUACAUUUAAAUGAACAUGACUGCAUCUUCAAUAAGCAUGAUGUUCGCAGCUUCGUUGACAAUGAUUAGAUAAUCAUUUUGUAAAAAUGUCUAUCAGUAAUUACACGAUACUGGUUAGGUGAUUCAAAACAAUAAUGCAACUUCUCUUUUCGGUUUGUUCAAUUUAGGAGAUUCAAAUUCAACCUAAUUUUGUGAUCGCAUUAUUAUUGGAUAGUAUGGGGCUAAAUUUAAUAACAAAUUUGAUGCGUGCUUUUUACAUAACUAACGCGGCUCUCCGUUUCUGAUUGGUCAAUUUGUUUCCGUGCAUUAACUCCCCUGAACAUGUUUCGUUUUCAACCACACCCGGCGGGUAUAUGAUGUUGGUGUCACGAAAUGCCUUUGCGUUUGCCAGCCUCCAAAAUGUAUGUAUAUCAAGUAUCUAUCAUUACAAUUCAGUAGUUUUCCUCGCAUGUUUGUUCAGCAUUCGCAUCACGCAAUUCUGUGAAUCGUAUGUAUACACAAAAUCUCUGCAACGAACAACAGAUAUAAUAUAUCCUGCACAUUCCACAACUUUGCUCACAUUUUCAUUUGUGCACUGUUUCAUAACAUGGUAUCAAAUCUCUAUAAGAUGUAUCUUUGUGUGUGCAAAUUGAGUAUAUGUAUAAUGAUAAUGGUGUGUGUGUAAAAUAAUAUUUUUUUCGCUGCCGUUAUCCAUAAUGAUGACCAUUAUGUUGUCGUGUUGAUGCUGCUGUUGCUGAUGCUGAGGAGGAAGAUGAUGA